UGGCUAAUUUUGGGAAGGGCCUUUUAUGU
rnacentral:piRNA from 1 species